GACGAACGCUGGCGGCGUGCCUAAUACAUGCAAGUUGAGCGCUGAAGGUUGGUACUUGUACCAACUGGAUGAGCAGCGAACGGGUGAGUAACGCGUGGGGAAUCUGCCUUUGAGCGGGGGACAACAUUUGGAAACGAAUGCUAAUACCGCAUAAAAACUUUAAACACAAGUUUUAAGUUUGAAAGAUGCAAUUGCAUCACUCAAAGAUGAUCCCGCGUUGUAUUAGCUAGUUGGUGAGGUAAAGGCUCACCAAGGCGAUGAUACAUAGCCGACCUGAGAGGGUGAUCGGCCACAUUGGGACUGAGACACGGCCCAAACUCCUACGGGAGGCAGCAGUAGGGAAUCUUCGGCAAUGGACGAAAGUCUGACCCGAGCAAACGCCGCGUGAGUGAAAGAAAGGUUUUUCGGA
rnacentral:rRNA from 1 species